rfam:Canis lupus familiaris chromosome 17, whole genome shotgun sequence.
AGGAGGAACAGCCCCAGUGGCGGGGCAGCUCUGGAAACCUGGGUUCAGCUCCGGCAGGAACUCCGUCUGCAGGGCCUGGAGGCUCCGGGGCGGG